AAACACACUGGCAAAGCAGAUCUUUCUUUAGGGAUGCUUCUGUAGCUUUUUGUUUGUGUUAUUGCCUUAUUCCAUGUGGUUCUGGAUCUCAGAGCUCAGCUUUACCACUAAACCCAGAUUUUUCCCUUCAGAUAGAUCCUGAAUUCAUAGUUCCCAGACUCAUAGCUUUUUUUCUGGCCAUGAAUUUGAACUCCCUUGUCUUGCAGAUCUUGAGGCACCCUUUCUGACCUGUCCCAGUUGGAUGCUCUGAGUAUAAAAUCUCCCUGCUGAUAAAUUGGCUCAUAGGCUGUGGAAAUCUUGCUUGGCCUAGAAGAAAUGUUGCUGUGGGAAGAUCUCCAGCAAGGCAUCUCCAUAAAUCUUUUCCUGUUUUCCUCUUGAAAUACGAAAUUUGGAAGAGUCAGGUAACAUCUAGAGAAAACCGCCUAUACUUGGAGGAAUCCUAUCAGGCGAGGGAGCAUUAUUGCCACCAUUUUACUGAUCAGAAAACUGAAGUUCAGAAAUAUUGCGAUUUGCUGAUGGUCACAUAGUAAAUAGAGCCAGAGGCUGAAAUCCACGUCAUCUGACUCCUGGGGCACUGUUUCCUACCACAU
rnacentral:lncRNA from 1 species